rnacentral:lncRNA from 1 species
CAGCCUCAGUCCACUGCUGGGCCUGGAACACGGAGCAGUGGCUGCCCUGCGAGGAGGUCCUAGAGCAGCUCCAGCAGGAUGGCGGCUCCAGCGUCUCUAAGGCCUGCAGGGGGUCCAGCCCCAUGGGGGGCGCCCUAGGCCUCCGACAGCUCCCCAUCUGUGCUCCUGCCUGCCGGCCAUCCUCAGGCCACUCGCCAUGGGCGGCUGCUUCUCCAAACCCAAACCAGUGGGAAGGGCAGCCCCCGGGCCUACCAGGGCAAUGGCACGGCCCGCCACUUCCACACGGAGGAGCGCCUGUCCACCCCUCACCCCUACCCCAGCCCUCAGGAUUGCGUGGAGGCUGCUGUCUGCCACGUCAAGGACCUCGAGAAUGGCCAGAUGCGGGAAGUGGAGCUGGGCUGGGGGAAGGUGUUGCUGGUGAAGGACAAUGGGGAGUUCCACGCCCUGGGCCAUAAGUGUCCGCACUACGGCGCACCCCUGGUGAAAGGCGUUCUGUCCCGUGGUCGGGUGCGCUGCCCCUG